rnacentral:lncRNA from 1 species
UUUAUUGUUACUGAUUUCUUAUUUAAUUCCCUUGUGGUCAGAGAACAUAUGGUAUAAUAUUUCAAUACUUUGAAACUUAUUGAGAAUUAUAAAAGGACCUCUAAAAUCCUAGGUCUUUGCAAAUGUUCUGUGCGCACCAAAAAGAAUAUGCAUUCUGUCAUAAUUGGAUUUAGUAUUCCAUAAGCCUUAACCAGGUCAAGUGAUUUACACUGUGAUACAAAUCUAUUUUUGUCCAUGUAUUCAAAUAUAAGAGAUGGCUAUUGAAUUCCCUGACAAUGAUUUUGAAUUUGUCUAGUUUUUACUUUAGUCUAAAAAUUCAUGUAUUUUUAAGUACAUAUAAGUACGUAUAAGAUGCUCAACUUUUACUGACCCUUUUCUCUCUACUAGCUUUCAUCAGCCUACCUUCUGACUUUAAGUAUGUCAUAAAAAGAAAAACUUCUAUCAUGUUUUAAGCACUCUUAUUUGCAGUUUUUCUGUAAUAUAUACAUACAUACAUAAUACUAAAUGAUAUAAAUAGUACAAUAGAAAAGCAUAAGAUACCAUGAAGGCAUAUAAAACCUAGACAUGGAAAUCAGGAAGAGCUUCUUGAUGGAAGUGAUAUAUUAAUAGUCAAGUGGAAGUUAGCUCUAAUCGGAGGUUAUGAAAGGAGCAUUCCAAGAAAGGGAAAUUUUGUGUGCAUAAGCCUUGAGGAAAGGAGGAGCUUGGCUCUUUUUUUUUUUUUUAAAGAUUUUAUUUAUUUAUUCACAAGAGACACACAGAGAGAGAUAGAGGCAGAGACACAGGUAGAAGAAGAAGCAGGCUCCAUGCAGGACUUAUGUGGGACUUAAUCCUGGGUCUCCAGGAUCAUACCCUGGGUUGAAGGUGGCACUAAACCACUGAGCCACCAGGGCCGCCCAGGUGUGGCUCUUUAAAGAAACAAGGAAGUAAAGAAUAGCUUCAUUGUAGAGUGAAGGCAGAAGUAGCAGGCACAUAUGUGGGGGCUUGGAAGCUUCCUGAGUGAAGUGGGAGUAUUGAGGUUUUAAGUCAAGAAGCACCAUGAUCUGGUGUGCAAUUUUUAAAAAGUACUUAAACUGUUGUAAGAAUAAAUUAUAGAAGGCAAGAAAUUGAUGCAGAGAGUUCAGUUAAGAGAUGAUUGAGGUGAUUAAGGUACAGGAGGUGAUGGAGGCUUAAGUUAAAGUAUAUGUAGUAGAGCUGAGGUAAAUAUAAGAAGUCAAAGAUAAAUUUUGCAUGUAGAACUGAUAGUUGGUCAUGGAUUGGAUGUCAGAGGUAAGAGAGGAUAAAGUGCCAGUAAUGAUUUUUGGCAUGUGUGGAAAUAAAUAUGAAAGAACAGAUGUUGGGGGGGGGAAUAGGUUCUAGCACACCAAAAUUUAGAUGUUGAAGGCACAUCAAAGAGAAAGUAUUACACAAGCUAUGAGAUAUAUGAGCUUGAAAGAAGGAUCUGAGGGGGAGAUAUAAUUUUUGGAGUUAUAAACAGGCAGCAACUAAUGCCUUGAGAAUGAAUCAAAUAAUAUGGCAGGAAGUAUAAUUAUAAAAAAAAAGACUAUAAAGCAAUCAGGAAGAACUCUGACAUUCAAAGGUCAGAAAGAAGUUGCUGAUGAGAAAAAAAAAAGAGAAAAAGGGAUCAGAUAUAUAAGUAAUGGUAUUAAAGUCAAUACUUUCCCUCUGUUGAUAUCUUUCAGUUUUGUGUAUGGAUGCUUCAGAGUGAAGGUUGUUUCUCCAAGGUCUGAAGGAUGUUAUUCAUUUUCUUUUCUUUUUUUUUUUAAUUUUUUAUUUAUGAUAGUGACAGAGAGAGAGAGAGAGAGAGAGGCAGAGACACAGGCAGAGGGAGAAGCAGCUUCAUGACUUUUCUUUUUUAUAAAACAAUUGUCCUUAACUGGAUUCAUUCAUCUUGAAAUGGCAGGCAAUUAUAGCUACAUACCUCAAUCUAUGAUACAUAUCAAGCAAUUCAACUUUUUUCCUAAUGUCAUGACUUUUCUCCGCUUCUUGGGAGCACUUCCAGCAUCACUUUUCUAAAAAAGUGACACAUUUCUAUAGGUCCCACGGUGUUAUUCAAGGUUUACAGUAUUGCAUUAACCAUGAUAAAAGGGAAGUGAGAGCCACCAGAGAUAACUUUUAACUGUCAUUUGCUAUUUGCUGGAGAGGCAAACUCUUCACACAGAGAUGAUUAGUAUCACACAGUAUUUUAAGUGGUUACUGGAAACACCUGAGCUCACCGCAGUAGCAACAGGAAGGAGCUAUGAAAUUAUUCCAGUAGUACAGUAUGUACUAGUUAAUUUCAUGCAAUUAUGACUUAAUAUUAUAUCUUUACAUUUGUUUACAACUGUGAAUAGUGCCAU